rnacentral:tRNA from 1 species
GUGGGUAUAAUUCAUGGUAGAGUGCAUGCUUAGCAAGCAUGAGGUCCUCGGUUCAAUCUCUAGUACCUUCA